rnacentral:rRNA from 1 species
GAUGAACGCUGGCGGCGUGCCUAACACAUGCAAGUCGAGCGACCAGACGAGGAGCUUGUGCCUUUACCGUUAGCGGGUGACGGGCGAGUAACACGUGGAUCACCUACUUCUAAGUCGGGGAUAAUAACGGGAAACCGGUUACAAUAAUACCGCAUAUGUCGUACCGGUGAGAUCAAGAGUGAAUCACAGCUUUCCCGUUUCUAUGAGCUGAUGCCGGAUUAGCUAGUUGGCUGGGUAAAGGCACACCAAGGCGACGAUGCGUAGCUGAGCUGAGAGGAUGAUCGGCAACACUGGAACUGAGACACGGUCCAGACUCCUACGGGAGGCAGCAGUAGGGAAUAUUGCGCAAAGGGCGCAAGCCUGAUCGAGCCACGCCGCGUGGGUGAUGAAGGUCUUCGGGUCGUAAAGCUCUUUUGUUGGGAAAGAAAAGCUGUAGGUUAAUAUCUGGAUGUUCUGACGGUACCUAAACAAUAAGCACCGGCUAACUUCGUG